AGUGGCGAACGGGUGAGUAACACGUGGGCAAUCUGCCCUGCACUCUGGGACAAGCCCUGGAAACGGGGUCUAAUACCGGAUAUGACUACUGACCGCAUGGUUGGUGGUGGAAAGCUCCGGCGGUGCAGGAUGAGCCCGCGGCCUAUCAGCUUGUUGGUGGGGUGAUGGCCUACCAAGGCGACGACGGGUAGCCGGCCUGAGAGGGCGACCGGCCACACUGGGACUGAGACACGGCCCAGACUCCUACGGGAGGCAGCAGUGGGGAAUAUUGCACAAUGGGCGAAAGCCUGAUGCAGCGACGCCGCGUGAGGGAUGACGGCCUUCGGGUUGUAAACCUCUUUCAGCAGGGAAGAAGCGAGAGUGACGGUACCUGCAGAAGAAGCGCCGGCUAACUACGUGCCAGCAGCCGCGGUAAUACGUAGGGCGCAAGCGUUGUCCGGAAUUAUUGGGCGUAAAGAGCUCGUAGGCGGCUUGUCGCGUCGGAUGUGAAAGCCCGGGGCUUAACCCCGGGUCUGCAUUCGAUACGGGCAGGCUAGAGUUCGGUAGGGGAGAUCGGAAUUCCUGGUGUAGCGGUGAAAUGCGCAGAUAUCAGGAGGAACACCGGUGGCGAAGGCGGAUCUCUGGGCCGAUACUGACGCUGAGGAGCGAAAGCGUGGGGAGCGAACAGGAUUAGAUACCCUGGUAGUCCACGCCGUAAACGUUGGGAACUAGGUGUGGGCGACAUUCCACGUCGUCCGUGCCGCAGCUAAC
rnacentral:rRNA from 1 species